ACAUGCAAGUCGAACGGAAAGGCCCUUCGGGGUACUCGAGUGGCGAACGGGUGAGUAACACGUGGGUGAUCUGCCCUGCACUCUGGGAUAAGCCUGGGAAACUGGGUCUAAUACCGGAUAGGACCACACACUUCAUGGUGAGUGGUGCAAAGCUUUUGCGGUGUGGGAUGAGCCCGCGGCCUAUCAGCUUGUUGGUGGGGUAAUGGCCCACCAAGGCGACGACGGGUAGCCGGCCUGAGAGGGUGACCGGCCACACUGGGACUGAGAUACGGCCCAGACUCCUACGGGAGGCAGCAGUGGGGAAUAUUGCACAAUGGGCGCAAGCCUGAUGCAGCGACGCCGCGUGAGGGAUGACGGCCUUCGGGUUGUAAACCUCUUUCAGUAGGGACGAAGCGAAAGUGACGGUACCUACAGAAGAAGGACCGGCCAACUACGUGCCAGCAGCCGCGGUAAUACGUAGGGUCCGAGCGUUGUCCGGAAUUACUGGGCGUAAAGAGCUCGUAGGUGGUUUGUCGCGUUGUUCGUGAAAACUCACAGCUUAACUGUGGGCGUGCGGGCGAUACGGGCAGACUAGAGUACUGCAGGGGAGACUGGAAUUCCUGGUGUAGCGGUGGAAUGCGCAGAUAUCAGGAGGAACACCGGUGGCGAAGGCGGGUCUCUGGGCAGUAACUGACGCUGAGGAGCGAAAGCGUGGGUAGCGAACAGGA
rnacentral:rRNA from 1 species